UAUAAAGUAAGCUAAUUAAAGCUAUUGGGUUCAUACCCCAAACAUGAUUUAUCCUUUAUAA
rnacentral:tRNA from 1 species